rnacentral:ncRNA from 2 species
GAUAUCAAAUGCGAUGGUGUUCGCAAUGAACCACUGGCGUAGACCAGUUGAUGACACCUGUCUCUGU